rnacentral:rRNA from 1 species
UACGGAGGGUGCAAGCGUUAUCCGGAUUCACUGGGUUUAAAGGGUGCGUAGGCGGGUUGGUAAGUCGAGUGGAUGAUCCUCAUUAACUGAAACUGCCGUUGAUACUAUGAUCUUGAAUUGUGUGGAGGUAAGCGGAAUAUGUCAUGUAGCGGUGAAAUGCUUAGAUAUGACAUAGAACACCGAUAGCGAAGGCAGCUUGCUACACAAAAAUUGACGCUGAGGCACGAAAGCGUGGGGAUCAAACAGG